rnacentral:rRNA from 1 species
GACGAACGCUGGCGGCGUGCUUAACACAUGCAAGUCGAACGGAAAGGCCCUGCUUGCAGGGUACUCGAGUGGCGAACGGGUGAGUAACACGUGGGUGAUCUGCCCUGCACUUCGGGAUAAGCCUGGGAAACUGGGUCUAAUACCGGAUAGGAGCCAUUUUUAGUGUGAUGGUUGGAAAGUUUUUUCGGUGUAGGAUGAGCUCGCGGCCUAUCAGCUUGUUGGUGGGGUAAUGGCCUACCAAGGCGGCGACGGGUAGCCGGCCUGUGAGGGUGGACGGCCACACUGGGACUGAGAUACGGCACAGACUCCUACGGGAGGCAGCAGUGGGGAAUAUUGCACAAUGGGCGCAAGCCUGAUGCAGCGACGCCGCGUGGGGGAUGACGGCCUUCGGGUUGUAAACUCCUUUCGCUAGGGACGAAGCUUUUUGUGACGGUACCUAGAUAAGAAGCACCGGCUAACUACGUG